rnacentral:rRNA from 1 species
AUUGAACGCUGGCGGCAGGCCUAACACAUGCAAGUCGAGCGAGCGGCGGACGGGUGAGUAAUGUCUGGGAAGCUGCCUGAUGGAGGGGGAUCACUACUGGAAACGGUAGCUAAUACCGCAUACCAUCAGAUGUGCCCCGAUGGGAUUAGCUAGUAGGUGGGGUAACGGCUCACCGAGGAGACGAGCCCUAGCUGGGCUGAGAGGAUGACCAGCCACACUGGAACUGAGACACGGUCAAGACUUCGACGGGAGGAAGCAGUGGGGAAUAUUGCACAAUGGGCGCAAGCCGGAUGCAGCCAUGCCGCGUGUGUGAAGAAGGACUUCGGGUUGUAAAGCACUUUCAGCGGGGAGGCGUUACCCGCAGAAGAAGCACCGGCUAACUCCGUGCCAGCAGCCGCGGUAAUUC